UUUUUCAAAUAGACUAAAUAACAUCUAACCAAAUACAAACAAUCUUCUUUCAUUUAAUCCUACCACAACAAACCAAACUAGCAAAUUGAUUAGCAUGAUGAAGAGGGCAUUUGGUAAAGCAUCACUAAUAUCAACCCAAUCAAGAAUUUUGGACCAUACCUGACUAAAGAAUGAACACUAAAACAAUAAGUGAUUUAUAUUCUCCUCAAAACCACAACCACCAUACAAAGUAAUUUAUCAAUUGCAAUAGUGUUCAUGGAUGCUAGAUUAUCCUUGGAAGACAUUCGAUUAUUAAGCAAGUGUCAAGCAAAAACAUAAAUUUUUC
rnacentral:lncRNA from 1 species